rnacentral:rRNA from 1 species
GACGAACGCUGGCGGCGUGCUUAACACAUGCAAGUCGAACGGAAAGGCCCUGCUUUUGUGGGGUGCUCGAGUGGCGAACGGGUGAGUAACACGUGAGUAACCUGCCCUUGACUUUGGGAUAACUUCAGGAAACUGGGGCUAAUACCGGAUAGGAGCUCCUGCUGCAUGGUGGGGGUUGGAAAGUUUCGGCGGUUGGGGAUGGACUCGCGGCUUAUCAGCUUGUUGGUGGGGUAGUGGCUCACCAAGGCUUUGACGGGUAGCCGGCCUGAGAGGGUGACCGGCCACAUUGGGACUGAGAUACGGCCCAGACUCCUACGGGAGGCAGCAGUGGGGAAUAUUGCACAAUGGGCGGAAGCCUGAUUCAGCAACGCCGCGUGCGGGAUGACGGCCUUCGGGUUGUAAACCGCUUUCGCCUGUGACGAAGCGUGAGUGACGGUAAUGGGUAAAGAAGCACCGGCUAACUACGUG